rnacentral:rRNA from 1 species
UAGGGAAUCUUCGGCAAUGGGGGCAACCCUGACCGAGCAACGCCGCGUGAGUGAAGAAGGUUUUCGGAUUCGUAAAGCUCUGUUGUAAGAGAAGAACGUGUGUGAGAGUGGAAAAUUCACACAGUGACGGUAACUUACCAGAAAGGGACGGCUAACUACGCGCCAG